UCCCAGUCAGUCAGUCAGUUAACACUUGCCGUCCGAAAGAGUUGUUUUCUUUGUAAGCUCGCGUAAAAUUACGAGCGGUGGUUAUCGGGCGAUGCUGGAUUGACACAUCCGUUUUGUCCGAUCGUGAAGAAGGCUGGCUUUUCACAUUCUUCAGAUCAACGCCGCUCAUGGCGGUAGUGCGACAGGAGUGCAGUUCAUGUUUAGUUACUACCUUCGAUGGUUUGGUGAAGACGAUUGGCCACAGCAUCGCUCAUGCGGUAAUUAGAAUGCGCGCGCGAGUACAUCAUUUUGAGUUAUAGUAAUUGUGCCAUCAGGUCACCGCUCUUCUAGUAAGGGGGGGGAGAGUGCAGUUCUGUUUGGUUUGAAUAAUUUCGAUUGCAAAAUUGCUCCAAAAAGGGUUUUUAUAUAAGAAUACAUCCAAUUGGAUUGGUGUUUGUGUUAAAAGUUAGUAACGCUGAUGGGGGAUAGAUGUAGUGGUCUGGUGAUGAAUCAUACAUAGUAACAUGAAUUAAGCCACCUUUGAUGCGCAAACACACAUCUACAACACACCUCGAGUUGGAGUCGGUUGGAGAAUAUAACGGUGGCGCAGCAGCGGAAACGCGUGCGUGUGUGAGUUGGUUGUUGAUAGGGAAGAAGAGCAUUCCGAAAAGUGCACAACAAAAGGAGAUGUUUGUCAGUUAAGUGUGUAUCCGAUUGAUUGGGAGAAUACACCGUGCGUUGCGUAUUUUUUGCGAAAUGCAAAUUUUGGUUAUUUUUUUUGUUUACUCGCUUAGCAGAGUGAUGCGUGCUUAGAGGGGAGAAGAGUGACACAUAAAUGUUGUGAAUUGUGAUGCAGAUGAAGCUACUAAUCCUGUAAAUUGAACAUCGACGACGAGGACGGCAACCAACGACAAAGGUCAUUGAGCGUAUUCCUCUUCUCGGCUGUUGGAUGUUUUUUUCUGUUUUGCGGAGAGUGAAAGAAAUAAUUCGCAAAGCGUGACAACGGCGCCAAGUUCUGUGCCCGACCAAAUCUUGAAUGGGAGAUAAGGCAUCCUGCAAGGACGGAUGUCUGGAAUUUUGAUGUUUUUACACUGAUGGAAUAACAACUAUGACAUGGGAUCCUGUUCGAGACGACAUUUUUUGUUGUCAAUAUGCGUUCUGCAGUUGUUAUUCGUCAUCGAACGUCAGGUGUUUGACUUCCUGGGGUACAUGUGGGCCCCGAUCCUGGUGAACUUUUUCCAUAUAAUAUUUGUGAUAUUUGGAUUCUUUGGUGCCUAUCAAUAUCGUCCAAAAUACCUAGUUACGUACUCACUUUGGAAUCUUUUGUGGAUAGGAUGGAACGCAUUUCUUAUAUGUUUUUAUUUAAAUGUAGGAAUCUUAGAUAGGGACAGCGACUUAUUAAAUUUAGGAACAGGCAGUGUGUCAUGGUUCGAAGUGAACGGUUACGGCUGCAAGCCGACCUAUCCCAUGAACAUAACCUCGGAGGAUCCGUACCGACCUGUGAGGCCGGAACGGGUCGAUGGCUGCCUGCUCGACUACCAUAUAGUGGAAAUUAUCCACUCCGGAGUGCAAUGUGCGCUAGCGAUUCUCGGUCUCUUCGGAGCCAUCUGUCUGGGGCACACGUAUCUGGAUGAAGACGAUAGCUUCGACUUUAUGGGUGGCGAUGCGAAAAGUCCACAGCACACGGCCGUGCAUCCAAUGUACGUGAGCUAUACAAGUUUACCAACCACCAAUAGCGCCACCUCGACGCAUCUCAAGCAAUCGAACGCUGCAAAAUUAGCUCCAUCAGCAGCAACCGUUAUCACAGCCAACAAUCAUAACAGUAAUAGCACUCAUUGUCUCAGUAACACAAGCGCUAAGAUCGGUGUUGUGCUCAAGUCGAUUAACGGUAGCAAGAAUCCAACUCCAUCCUCAAACACUAACACAUUACUGUCGUCAUCUUCAUCGCCAUCAUCCACCUUUACGAACUGCAACGGCAGCGGUAGCAUCGGCAACGGUAGACCCUCAUCCGCACUUGGUGGGCAAACACAUGAAGUACACGUGCCACUCCAUCAACAGCCACUUCCACAUCCACUCAGUCGAAAUUCUAGCUUUAGUAAAAUUCGCGGUGGACAGCUACGUAAGAACAGCAGCAGUAUUAGUGUGCGAUACACAGACGUGAUUCAACAGCAUCAGCAGCAAGAUGAUGAGAUAAUUCGCAACGAGGACGAUACAUUUUUCAUUCCGAAGAGCACCUCCUGCCGUAAUAACUUUGGUAUAAGCAACCCAUUCAACAACGUUUCCAGUCGAUACUAUCGCGAUGGCGAUGGUAGUAUACGAACUGAAAAUGAUGACGAUAUCGGGAGAUGUCUAAUUACCGGUUCCACACAGCAGCUUUCCCAAUCGACACCACUCAAGCGAAAUCCCUCGGUCACAUCGACCAGCACCAGUAUUGAGGGGGGCAACUACAGCAGCACUACCACAACCCCAAUGAAUGAAGCAAAUAUGAUAGCUUACGAACCAAAUUUCCCCCACGGGACGCGGCCUGAUUUGGGCUCACACCAGCACAGGAUAGCUAUUAGGCCACAGCAGAAAGUACAACCUAUACCACCACCAGUGCCACCAUUACCCCAAUUACAACACAUCCAUCAACAGCAGCAGCAGCAGCAUUUCAACAGCACCGAAAACUAUCGAAUGCCAUACCAGUACAUAACGCGGUCUCCCAAUUUGAAUCGCAUCGCCAGAAGAAACAACGCGAAUCUAAUUAAUAAUAACAACGUCAACAACAACAACAACAAUCAUCGAGUGAUGAGCCCCAAGUACUGUGAUCAAAUACGCGAUUGGGGAGGACCGCCAGGUUACCCUGGACAUGAAAACAAUAACUGCACUUCCCCACCCCCACCGAUGACGACAACGACGACGACGGCAUCAUCGACGGCCGCCGCCCCCUCCUCCACUGGUGGAGUUUACCCGGUGAUGGUAAUGCAUCGAGCAAAAUCGCAGGACCGAUUAACGCAUCGAAGCCGACGACAUCACCACCACCACAGUGGAGGAGGGGGGCGUGGCCCUUACGGUGCCCAGCAGCAGCAGCGACCUCGCUCCUUCUGCAGCAAUAACGGAGCCUAUCCGGACUAUGUGAUUGUGGAACAUCCCGACAACUAGAAAGCGGCGGCAGCAGCAGCAACGAUUUAAGCUAGUUGGAUUUUUUUUAUGAUUUGUUGUUUUUUUUGCGUCUGUUUUGCACAACUCGAUGUUAGAUGCGAAGCAGUGACGAGGGCGCCUGUUUGUCUAGCAUGGGCCAAUACACCCAGUUGGUUAUAAUACUUUGAUUACUGGCAGAACAUUUGCCAUCGACUUAUACAAGACGCAACACAUUUCGUUGAGUGCUUCCGAUUGGGGCCGAUGUGAAUGUGAAAACAUUAAAUUAAUCCAGUCGAUAGGGAAUUAUUUAAUCCUUCAGUUCAGAAUUGUCAAUGAAUACGCAAAUGAUUUUUGGUUUUCCCAUUUUGUUAUUCUGUCUCGACGAUUUUUGCAAAAAAAAAAACAAAGUGUUGAACAUUAUUUACUGAAAAGACGAAAUAUAUUAGAUAAUAACAGUAGUGAACUAACACCCAGUAGAGAAGUUUGAUUUGAUACUUUAUAUCGCGUUGUAGUUACUGUUGAAACAGUUAGAAACGUUCUUGUAGUUGUAAUACUGGUUGAUGACUAUAGUAGUGUUAAUUUUUCAACAAUUGGUGACGAUUAUUUUUGAUAGCAAGAAGGUGGUGUAGAUUUCAAGCCAAAGUGUACGCGAAAAAAACCUUACGAGAAUAGCAUUGUAAUGUUUAGAUCAUUUUUUCUUUUCUACAAACACAAUUUGGUGUACGAGAAACCGAACGAAUGACACCGCUCCCCCCAUACGCAAUGAUAGCAAUGAAAACGAAUGGCUAAUAUAUUAGCAUCAUUUCACUUAACAAUUCGUUCGGUUUGUGCUUAACAACGAGAAAUCAAAAGCGGAACAAAACAAUAAAUGAACGUAUAAUCAAUGCAUUUUUUUUGAACAAAUAAAGGAAACGUUCAUUUUCACUUUUUUACCUGAUACACACUUGUUUCAUUCCAUUUCGAUGAAGACGGUUUCACGCAAGUGAUUGUGUUCGAUGUAUGUUGAGUGUUCUGGAGAUAAUAACCGCAUGGCUUAAUAUCAUUGUGGUGCUUCCAAACAAGGCACGAGUAAUACGGUAUAGAAAGUUGUAUAUCUCGAUGGUUAGUUUGCACCUCUCGACCACUCCAUAGUGGUAACUAUUGAAGGUACUUACAAUAGGUGUUUUCAUCCUAACUAGUUUUCCUACUACUACUACUACUGCUACUACAACUGCUAUCGCAAUUUACUACCAUUCCCCCAAACUACAUGUAACAACAGAUGGAUGCUAUCAGGUACUUACAACAGUGUACAAUUGUGUUGAUUUAUUAACAAUAAUAACGAAACAUUUCUAAAUCAUUGUUGGGUUAACAAAUAGAUUAAU